rnacentral:rRNA from 1 species
AGUACCGUGAGGGAAAGGUGAAAAGAACCCCGGGAGGGGAGUGAAAGAGAACCUGAAACCGCAUGCCCACAAGAAGUCAGAGCCCGUCAAAGGGUGAUGGCGUGCCUUUUGUAGAAUGAGCCGGCGAGUCACGAUCAGCAGGCGAGGUUAAGCAGGAGAUGCGGAGCCGCAGCGAAAGCGAGUCUUAACAGGGCGACAUAGUCUGAGGUCGUGGACCCGAAACCGGGUGAUCUAGCCAUGAGCAGGUUGAAGUCGGGGUGAGACCCGAUGGAGGACCGAACCGACCCCCGUUGAAACGUUGGCGGAUGACUUGUGGCUAGGGGUGAAAUUCCAAUCGAACCCGGAGAUAGCUGGUUCUCCCCGAAAUAGCUUUAGGGCUAGCGUCGCAGCGAGAGAGCCGUGAAGGUAGAGCACUGAAUAUGCGAUGGCCGCAUCCCGCGGUACUGAGCAUAAUCAAACUCCGAAUGUCACGGUGUCAUCUGCGGCAGUCAGACGGCGAGUGAUAAGGUCCGUCGUCAAGAGGGAAACAGCCCAGACCAUCAGCUAAGGUCCCAAAGUGCAUGCUAAGUGGAAAAGGAAGUGGAGACGUGCAGACAACUAGGAGGUUGGCUCAGAAGCAGCCAUCCUUCAAAGAGUGCGUAACAGCUCACUAGUCGAAUGACUCUGCGCCGAUAAUUUACCGGGGCUAAGCAUGACACCGAAGCUAUGGACAGGAAUGUGGUAGGGGAGCAUUGCAUGCAGCGGAGAAGCAUGACCGAGAGGGCAUGUGGAGCGCAUGGAAGAGAGAAUGCCGGCGUGAGUAGCGGCACGUGGGUGAGAAUCCCACGCACCGAUGGCCCAAGGUCUCCAGAGGAAGGCUCGUCCUCUCUGGGAUAGUCGGGACCUAAGGCGAGGCCGAAAGGCGUAGCCGAUGGACGACGGGUGGAUAUUCCCGUACCCGAUGUGUGGCGAUGGAGUGACGGAGAAGGCUCAGGCAACCAGCUGCUGGAAUAGCUGGGGCAAGCGAGAUACCUGCGCACCAGGGAAAUCCGGUGCGCGCAGGGGGAAGGCGCGAAGCAUACGGAAAGCUGCGGCAAGUACGGAAAAGCUGAGAGCAGGCUUCCAGGAAAAGCUUCUAGCACAACACGCAUCGGCCCGUACCGAAAAUGGACACACAUGGGCAAGGAGAGAAUCCUGAGGUGAGCGAGAGAACUAUAGCUAAGGAACUCUGCAAAAUGACCCCGUAACUUAGGGAGAAGGGGUGCUCCAGAAAUGGAGCCGCAGUAAAACGGCCCAAGCGACUGUUUACCAAAAACACAGCUCUCUGCGAAGGCGCAAGCCGAAGUAUAGGGGGUGACGCCUGCCCGGUGCUGGAAGGUCAAGGGGAGCUGUCAGCGCAAGCGAAGCAGCGAGCCGAAGCCCCAGUAAACGGCGGCCGUAACUAUAACGGUCCUAAGGUAGCGAAAUUCCUUGUCGGGCAAGUUCCGACCCGCACGAAAGGCGUAACGAUUUGGGCGCUGUCUCAGCUGUAGACUCGGUGAAGUCUUAGUACCUGUGAAGAUGCAGGUUGCCCGCGACUAGACGGAAAGACCCCAUGGAGCUUCACUGCAGGUUGACAUUGGGCUUGGAUGCAUGAUGUACAGGAUAGGUGGGAGGCUGUGAGCCGUGCGCGCCAGCGUACGGGGAGCCGCUGUUGGGAUACCACCCUUCAUGCAUCUAGGUCCUAACCGGAGGCAACGGGCCACGGGACAGUGUCAGUCGGGCAGUUUGACUGGGGCGGUCGCCUCCCAAAGAGUAACGGAGGCGCCCAAAGAUACCCUCAGCAUGGAUGGAAACCAUGCAUAGAGUGCAAAGGCAUAAGGGUGUCUGACUGCGAGACAUACAGGUCGAGCAGGGACGAAAGUCGGGCUUAGUGAUCCGGCGGAUCCGAAUGGAAGGGCCGUCGCUCAACGGAUAAAAGCUACCCUGGGGAUAACAGGCUGAUCUCCCCCAA